UACGAAGGGGGCUAGCGUUGCUCGGAAUCACUGGGCGUAAAGGGUGCGUAGGCGGGGCUUUAAGGCAGGGGUGAAAUCCUGGAGCUCAACUCCAGAACUGCCUUUGAUACUGAGGAUCUUGAGUUCGGGAGAGGUGAGUGGAACUGCGAGUGUAGAGGUGAAAUUCGUAGAUAUUCGCAAGAACACCAGUGGCGAAGGCGGCUCACUGGCCCGAUACUGACGCUGAGGCACGAAAGCGCGGGGAGCAAACAGG
rnacentral:rRNA from 1 species